rnacentral:rRNA from 1 species
AGGGCACCACUAGGAGUGGAGCCUGCGGCUUAAUUUGACUCAACACGGGAAAACUCACCCGGCCCGGACACUGGAAGGAUUGACAGAUUGAGAGCUCUUUCUUGAUUCAGUGGGUGGUGGUGCAUGGCCGUUCUUAGUUGGUGGAGCGAUUUGUCUGGUUAAUUCCGAUAACGAACGAGACUCUAGCCUACUAAAUAGAUCGUCGGCUUACAAACGCUGAUGAGACUUCUUAGAGGGACAGGCGGCGAUUCAGCCGCACGAAACAGAGCAAUAACAGGUCUGUGAUGCCCUUAGAUGUCCGGGGCCGCACGCGCGCUACACUGAAGUGAUCAGCGUGCAUUUUCAGCCUACUCUGCCAAGAGUGGGAAACCCCAUGAACCUUCUUCGUGAUUGGGAUGGGAGAUUGUAAUUAUUCUCCUUGAACGAGGAAUUCCCAGUAAGCGCGAGUCAUAAGCUCGCGUUGAUUACGUCCCUGCCCUUUGUACACACCGCCCGUCGCUACUACCGAUUGAAUGUUUU